ACGAGUCACGACCGUAUCGGCCGCCGCCGCCCUCGCUACAGCCCGCCGUCGCCUUAUCCCCACUCGCUGGUGCGGAUCCGCCGCCGUCGCGCCCCUCACUCCGCUCGCCGCUGCCUCCGUCUACGCGACGCUCCUGCCUCCCUUCACCUUCCCAACUUCCCUUCCGAGCUCCGCCAGUGUCCAAGGCCUUGCUCUUCACCUUCCCAGCCUCCCUUCCGAGCUCCGCCAGCUUGAUGGCUCAUCAGACCUAUGGACGGUGCUACGUUGAGCGAUCGACUGGCAUCCUGCUCAGCCCUGCCGUCAAGCGCAUCCUAUGGGCUCGCCAUCUGGCGCUCCCCGUCAUCAGACUCGUGAUGGGUGAUGGGGUGGAUCGUCUGACACGCCUGGCGAUCCACCGGAGAAGGAUUUGGAGAGAAGGUUGAGCGGCAUGCAGGUGUCCUCGGUUGCCAAGACUGCAGCCAUGGUUAUGGAUGGAAUUUACCUUUUCUAAUCUAUUACAUGAAUAGUCCAUGAGUCCCCUUACGUGAGGUCAAUUUUGUAGAUUGUUUCAAUAUAGCAGAAAGAGGCCAUGACGUUGAUAUGAAUUAAGUUAGUCCCAGAGUGCCAAGACUAGCGAUGGAAUUUACUUUGCAUGGCUGUCACGAGAUAAAAGGAGGCGGUGGACGGGAGAGAUUCAACCGGAGUUGCCACAUUACCGGUAGAUUGCAGGAAGCACUACAUGUAAGAAAAAAGUUUGAUCCUUUGUCUAAUUGACUUUGCAUUAUCCAAUAUGAUUAGCUGGUGACAUGAGGGAGAGGGGGAUAGACCCCUUUGGCUACUGCACACAAUGUGCUACUCAUAUUCCACUUUUAGGCGAUAAGCAGCUUUAGAAUUCAGAUCCCUUUGAUUUACAUUUCAAAUCAUCUUGCUGCAACUUGGUAGUAAACAACCAUUUUUGGUCAUCUUAUACAGAUUUGUUUGGUUCUUCUGUUCGUAUAUGUCUUUUCAAUUUUACUAUAUGCUAACAGAAGAAAAAUGUAGAUAGUUUGAACACAUGUUUAUUCACCUAGAUGUUCUACAUGAAGAAAGAGCAGGAUAAACACCAUUUGUUGGUAGUCUUUCUAUUUGUCCUUAAUUAUUUGUAUUCUACACUAAUAUAGCAAGGUGAAGCCUAAUCUUUACUCUGGGUCACCGAUAGAAGUACUGGUGUAUACACAUCGAAGGUACACAAUGAACUUUUUGUAGUUCUUUUUCUUAUGGGAACUUUUCGUACGUCUUUGUUGUGAUAUACGCCCAUCUCGAAUUUCAUUUUAGGUCUACUUAUUUUAGCUCAGCUAGGUGUUGACAGUAAGAAACACUUGCAAAUAUAUGUCUCUUGUGUAUAUAAAUAUAUGCUCGCUCUACAAGUAUAAUGGAGACAAUGAUCACAGUAAUUUAAUCUGCUAUUUAGUGUACAAUAUUUUAUUCAUAAGAAGAGGUAGUUAUACACUGAAUUGCGGUUAUAUAUCUGAGUUAAGAAAAAAAUAUUAGUCUUCCUCUAUAGAGGUAUGUUGCCUUGCCGAGGCUGCUCUGCUUUUGCUAAUUUGCUGCUCUUUUGUGCUAUACUGCUAUUCCAUAUACAGAGAGAUCAGAGAAGAGAACAGCAACCCGUUACUACUGAUUUUUCAUGCUGCUACUCGCUUACCGUUACACAUCUACAUACAGAAGGCUGCUGCUUGCUGAUUACAAUCCAUUCAUGAUAGGUAGAUAUGUAUGCUUAUGCUUGGUACAUGUGAACAGGGGGACAAGGAAUGGAAGCUGCAGCGGUAGAUACGUGACUCCAGCCACCCAUUGACUAGCACAGUUUUGAAAUUCAUGCUGGCGGACCUUUUUUACCUAUGCGUGAUCAUUAGGUCAAGUAUGCCAAUUAUAAGGACAACAUCAAGCCAUUUGAGAGUAGGGGUCCAACUUCCCUGGAGGUGUGAUUUUUCUGUUACAGACUGAGGUGAGUUGAGUUGAUUUGUUGCUACUGCUAUUCGUGGUUAUCAGCAUGUUCCUACGCCAACCCUGGCAGGCUGCAACCUAUUUGCGGCUCGGCCAUGCCCACUCCCUGUGCUUCUUGCUCGUACCAGCAGUGAAGACUCUAUAAAUACAUGUCAUUCUAUUAUCCAAAAUCCAAUGGCAGAAGGAAGUGGUGUCAAACAACAUGUUGCUUGAUGAAGGACCAAGAUAGUUGAAGAGGAACAUGAAGCGGUAUAGAAAUUCCUCUGGAGGCCGAGCAUCUUGUCAGUCCGUUUAUAUUGACCAGAUUAGAAAAAUCAUAGCGUAAAAACUUGAAUCUUUUCCACAAGCCUUUGAGCAGCAUGUGCUAUCCAUGGCCUGAUGCCAUAAUAUAUAUGGUUUUGUGCUAAAACCAUUUUUAGAUGUAAAGUUCAAACAAGGUGGAAGUGGUUUUAUGAAGAAUUUUGAGGGCCGUCAAAAUUAAGUGUUAUCAAUAGUGCACCACAACAGUUGCAUU